UGAAGCCUCGAUGAGGAUAUCACGAGCUGAAUGUAUCCCCUUAUGCUGUUGCUCUGUCCUGCCAUGUGACUGUAUUUGGAGUUAGGAUCGAGAGGGAGAAGGGGAAGCCUUCACUCAACAGGACUGGUAUCCUUGGAAGAAAGCAGACAUGACACUCGUCCCCCCUGCCCCCAUGGUGUGCAUGGAAGAAAGGCCAUGUGAGGACACAGCAAGAAAUCAGGUCUCUGUCAGCCAGGAAGAGGCCUCACCAGAAACUGAGUUUACCUACACCUUGAUCUGGGACUUCUAGUGUCCAAAACUGUAAGAAAACACACUCUGAUUGUUUAAGCCACCAUUCUGUAGUAUUUUGUUAUGGCAGCCCCGGCAGACUAAUACCCAGGUGACUUGUGGAAAAGGCUUUGGUACAUCUCCUGGCACAAGGUAAGAGAUUCAUUAAGGAUAGCAGUUUGUAUUCCUUCUUAAAAAACACUUAUCUUUCUAGGACAGAAUUCUGGAAACUCCAAGGCCAAAUAGCUGCAAAUCCACUUGAAGCCUCUGAUGAGAAAUUGAGGGCAUCAGAGAGAAAGCAAACCACAGCCACUAAACUUUUUCUAUCCUGUUUCUGUGUUUAAGUCAUGAUGAUUUGUGUCAAAUAAUAUGACUGCACCCUUCCUCGGAGGGACUUAAUGCGCUUGUGCCAACUGCUUAUCCAUUGGUCAAAUGUCUGCAUCCAAGGAUGAGUUAAUGGGCUGUCUUAGAGGGCCAGGUGCCUGAGGCUAGGACUGUGCACAGAGAGCCACUAAUAAAAUAAAAUAAUUGGAUUCGUUCCACCCUGUCUAGUUUAGACUGUACAGUCAGGAAGCAGGCCAGGCUGAGUGGCUUUAGGAAUUGCAGGGUUGAAUUUACACUACAAGGCAGAUUUUACUUCAAUCCGUGUCAGCCUUGAUCAACGGUUGAUCUGUCACUUUUAGAGGUCCAGCUACUCCUGACUCGUGGGCACAUCAGGGAGAGGCUGUGCACAAGACACUCUGAGGUUCUGGUUUCACAGUGUCUACAUUCCUCAGGACACCCCAUAAGCAAGGUCUCCAAGUGGAUUUCUGGGCUACAGAUCUCCUGAGACAGGAUGAGGGAGGAAGUAGCUGAAGCUUCUCAAGUAAUCGUGAUUCUCUUUGCCUUCAUGUUCAAUCCUAAUGAAUGCUUUAAAGAUGGCACUAAAAUCCAUUUGAGAGACUAGAACCAUCUGGGAUCAUUGGUCAGAGCUUUAAAUGGUGCAAAAAGAGGGAAAAAUGGGCUGACUUCUGCUACGUAGGGAGGGGUUACAUUGGCUUCAUUGAAACCAGUUGAAGGUGUUCUUUUGCUUUAUUCGCCCCAAGUUUUUCUUUAAAUUAAGGCUGUCCAGUGGUUUCCAGAGACUCCAUAGGUUCUGUUGAAAUUUCUUUUGUCCUUUCCUCUUACUGAAUCUCCGUGACCCUGACUUCACAGGGUCGGAUGUUGCAGCCCAGAGGAGCACUUGCCAUUAGUACCUCCAUCACAGAUGGAUGGCCCAACGCUGACUCAGUGAACCUGCUUCUUUUUGUACCUCCCUGACACUAAGUGUUUGCUCAUAGACUCAACAUUGUUUCGAUGUGUUCAUUAAAUUCAAACACCCACUCAACAUCCACCUUCGAAGGCCCUGGGAGUGCUGCAGCAAAUGAGAUGCAGAUCCUGCCUUCAAAGAGCUCCAGUUUAGUGGGAGGGCAGAGGGAUAGUAACUAACAUAUGGCCACCAAGGAGGGCGAGGCAUGGAGAAAGGCUUUGAAGAGAACAGCAGUGGCCUUGGAGGUUACCUCCCAGGAGGGAAGAAAGAGAGAGGAGCGUUUGUGGGAGGAACAAUUUAAUUGGGAAUAAAGAAGCAGCCAGCAGGUUGUUCUGACAGAAUCAGUCUUUUUGAUGCAUGGCUGAAGGCAGCUGGUGAUGCUGGUGUCGAUGAAACAAUUAUUUGGCACACAACGAAUAAGGAAAAUAUGGGAGGGACAAAGCAAAGACAGGAAGUGAGGGAGAAAGGGAGGGAAGGAGGUAGGAGGGAGUUACUCAUCUGGCUUGAGAAAAUAUCAUCAGCCAAUCCAUCCAUAACCCCAUCCCAUAAUCUCAGCUCCUUCUCCAACGAGGAGUUGAGAGACUGGUCAACCAGAGCUUCGUUCUGGUGUCCAUAAGAUCUGGCUAAUGACACCAUAUCCCUUAUUUCCCUUAUUUCUUGGAAAACUGGGGAAUGGAGUCAACUUGUAGAAAACCCAUGAGAAAUUUAUUGACUUAGGGAAAACAAUGACAAUCAAGAUGGUUUUUGUUACAGGGGUGAAAUUAAGACGAAUAAAAUUAAAUAUGUUAUUAUCUUAAUUGAACAUUAUAGUUAUUAGCGCCUACCUUUGAAUUUGUUGGCUGGUGGCCAAAAUCUGUGACCAAUAGGUUGGAAGGUUAUUUCAAUGGCAUCAUUAAAAAAAAGUUUCCAGAGACAUGUCCCAGCCUAUAUCUACACAAAUGUAGGGUAAGGAAAGAGAGACGAGGGGCAAGAGAAGGAUAUACUAGCUACUAAGUUUAAACUCAAACUUAAGGAUUUGUUUUUACGUGAAUUGGAGACAGUGGUAAAUCCUGUCUGGUGGCCAUCUGGGGAGAAAGAAGGGGCACCAGGGAGGAAGUCUUCCUGAGAGGACCCACACCCUUCCAGGACUGCAUCCCCCUCAUUGUUUUCUUUUUCUGCCAGUAAAUCACUGGUAUUAAUUAAUAGGAUUUGGUUUUGAUUUCUUCCACACAACUGUUUGUACAUAUCUGGAGGCUCAACUGCUAAUGCAAAAGAAAUUUCCUCAAACAUUUUCAGACCAGAGACCAGAUGACAGAAAUCAUGACUUAUUCAUCUUUGCAUUCUGAGUACCCAGAGCAGAUUCUCCAUGUGUUCAUCAUAUAAAUUAAUGAGUUUCCUUGCUCCACCUCCUUUUACCACCAGAAAACCUAUUUCUUUAACAAAUAUUUAUUAAUUAUCUCUAUUUGUCAGGUGCUGAGUCAGGCAGUAAGAGUGAGCAAGAGAGACACGACCCUGUUUUUGCAGAGUUUGCUGCCCAGGAAGAAAGACAAUAAUUAAAGCAGGCGUUAUGAUCUCAUCACAGUAUGGGAGAAUCCAUGAGAAAGAACACAAACCAGUCUUCAUGUGACCAUGCAGACUUCCAGGAGCGUUUGCAAAGCCAUUAGGAUCACUUCCUGCCAGGGAACUUGAGGUUCCUUUUUUAAAAGAACCAGCAUGUGUACAAGAGGAAACAGAAGUGUCUAAAUCUAGCUGCCUCAGGUCAAGGAACUCCCUUCGUAUGGGAAAGGUGUAUCCUGUGGUACCUUAGGUCCUGUUAAAAGUGUCACAGAAAUGAAACUAAAUCCCAGAGAGAUAAAGAGACUCACCUAAGGCCACACAGCCAACCAAUAACCUCAGUGCCAAGAGACUCUUAAUUCCCAACUUCCAACUCCCUGCCCUGCUGGAGCCUGUAUAACAAAUGGGAGUUCAGGGGAGAGGUCUGCCCUGGAACGGAAGUUUCGGCACCAUAUAUAAAUAGACAGUAAUUGAAGAUGUGAAGAUGGAUCACAGUCCGUGGAGAGUGAGAAGAGACAAACACAUAAGACAAAACACUGAGGAAUGAUAAUAUUUAGUGGCUGAGUAGAGGAUGAUAAGCCUGAUGCUGAGAAGGAGCAGCCAGAGAGGUAGAAGGAAAAGUGGGAUGGUAUUAUAUGUGGGAAGGUAUUGGAACUUUUCUGAAAACUUGCAAUUGUCCUUGCUUUGGGGAGUCUAACUCCUGGUUAAGCACCUAUUAUUAAUAAUAAAUUCUUUAUACGUGUGGUGCUAGGGAUUGAGCUCAGGGCCUUAUGCCUACUAGGUAAGCACUUUACUAUUGAGCUACACCCCCAGUAAUAAUAAAUUCUCCUUAGUUAAAUGAGAAUUGAAAUUGUUCUUGACAUCAAACAUGUAGUUCUCAGCCUGAGGUACCUAGAACACCAGUGGCAUGGAGACUUUGUGUUAACAGCACUCAGUGUUUUCAUGAAAAUGAUUGUCCUCCAAUCUUUUGUGUCACUCUGCAAGUGUGACAUACUCUACUGAUGACCCCAUUAUUCACCUAUGACAUUUUCAUAUUGUAGUAGUAAUUUGAAUAUUUAACUACUGGUGAAACAUGACAACAAAAAAUAUACAAAUAAAGUUCAACUAUUGCAACAA